rnacentral:rRNA from 1 species
UACGUAGGGGGCAAGCGUUGUCCGGAUUUAUUGGGCGUAAAGAGCGUGUAGGCGGCUUUGCAGGUCCGCUGUGAAAACUCGAGGCUCAACCUCGAGCUGUCGGUGGAAACCGUAAAGCUAGAGUCCGGAAGAGGAGAGUGGAAUUCCCGGUGUAGCGGUGAAAUGCGCAGAUAUCGGGAGGAACACCUGUGGCGAAAGCGGCUCACUGGACCAUAACUGACGCUGAUGCACGAAAGCUGGGGGAGCAAACAGG